rnacentral:rRNA from 1 species
UCAAGUAAACAAGAGCACAAGGUGGAUGCCUAAGCACCAGAAGCCGAUGAAGGACGUGACAAGCUGCGAAAAGCUACGGGGAGGAGCAAAUAUCCAUUGAUCCGUAGAUAUCCGAAUGGGGGAACCCACUUAAGUAAACCUUAAGUACUGCAUACUGAAUCCAUAGGUAUGCAGGGGGAACGAGGCGAACUGAAACAUCUAAGUAGCUUCAGGAAGAGAAAGAAACAUCGAUUUCCUAAGUAGCGGCGAGCGAACGGGAAAGAGCCCAAACCAUGCAUGUAAGUGUAUGGGGUUAGGACUGCGAGGUGGCAAGACUAAGGAUAGAUGAAUUGUAUGGAAAGACAAACGAUAGGCGUGAGAGUCGCGUAAUCGAAAUCCGAAGGAAGCCUAGCAGUAUCCAGAGUAGCACGGGACACGAGAAAUCCCGUGUGAACGAGCGGAGACCACUCCGUAAGGCUAAAUACUAACUGGUGACUGAUAGAGUAAUAGUACUGUGAAGGAAAGGUGAAAAGGACCCCGGGAGGGGAGUGAAAGAGAACCUGAAACCUUGUGUUUACAUACUGUGGAAGCACGUUAAAGUGCGACUGCGUACUUUUUGUAGAACGGUCCGGCGAGUUACGCAUAUAGGUAGGUUAAGGGCUAAGAGGUCUGGAGCCGAAGUGAAAGCGAGCGUUAAAAGCGCGAAGAUCUAUAUGUGUAGACCCGAAACCGGGUGAUCUACCCAUGAGCAGUGUGAAGUUGCUGUAAGAGGCAAUGGAGGCGCGAACACACAUCUGUUGAAAAAGGUGGUGAUGACUUGUGGGUAGGGGAGAAAUUCCAAUCGAACUCGGAGAUAGCUGGUUCUCCUCGAAAUAGCUUUAGGGCUAGCCUUUCUUUAGUCUACUGCAGGUAGAGCACUGAAUUUCCUAGGGGGCGUCAAAGUUUGCCGAAGAAUAUCAAACUCCGAAUGGCAGUUAGAUGAUGAGAAGGAGUCAGACCAUAUGAGAUAAGUCGGAUGGUCAAAAGGGAAAGAGCCCAGAUCUGCAGCUAAGGUCCCAAAGGUAGUGUUAAGUGUGAAAGGAUGUGCGACUUCAUAGACAGCUAGGAUGUUGGCUCAGAAGCAGCCAUACAUUGAAAGAGUGCGUAACAGCUCACUAGUCGAGAGGUGGUGCGCCGAAAAUACACGGGGCUAAAACACUACACCGAAGCUCAGGGAUUCGAAAGAAUCGGUAGAGGAGCAUUGUUAGUUCGUAGAAGCCGUACUGAUAAAGAGCGGUGGAGGGCUAAGAAGAGAGAAUGCCGGAAUGAGUAGCGAGACUGAAGUGAGAAUCUUCAGGACCGAAUAUCCAAGGUUUCCAGGGUAAAGCUUGUCUUCCCUGGGUUAGUCGGGGCCUAAGGCGAGGUCGAAAGACGUAGUCGAUGGACAGCAGGUUGAUAUUCCUGCACUACUGUAUAUCAGAACUGUGAGGACGCGGUUUAAAGAGGUGAGUCAAGUGAAGGAACUUGAUUGGACAUGGAGGCCAGGUUAGGGGCAAAUACCUUAACGGAAUGGUAAGGACAUGAACGAUAGGGAACAAUAAAAGUACCGAAAGAGCUGAAUAAACUGCCAAGAAAAGUCACUAUUGCGUAUAUAGUACCCGUACCGCAAACCGACACAGGUGGAUGAGGAGAGAAUCCUAAGGUCGACGGGAGAAGUAUUGUUAAGGAACUCGGCAAAAUGACCCCGUAACUUCGGGAGAAGGGGUGCUGAUAUUAAUCAGCCGCAGUGAAUAGGCCCAAGCAACUGUUUAGCAAAAACACAGGUCUAUGCGAAACCGAGAGGUGAAGUAUAUGGGCUGACGCCUGCCCGGUGCUGGAAGGUUAAGAGGAGAGGUUAGCGUAAGCGAAGCUUUGAAUCCAAGCCCCAGUAAACGGCGGCCGUAACUAUAACGGUCCUAAGGUAGCGAAAUUCCUUGUCGGGUAAGUUCCGACCCGCACGAAAGGCGUAAUGAUUUGGGCACUGUCUCGACAAUACACCCGGUGAAAUUGAAAUGCCAGUGAAGAUGCUGGCGACCUGCGCCAGGACGGAAAGACCCCAUGGAGCUUUACUCUAGC